GUGUGCUUGGAUGUACAGGAUAAUUACUUUGGAUGACAAAAUGUUUACUAUGCAAUUAAAGAUUUAAACCAUAUUCGUAUACAUGUUGUGUAUGCGUAAAUGCUUCAAUGAAUAAGGAAGUAAAAAAGAGACGGUUAGAUAAAUAAUUUUUAAAAGUUUUACUGUCUACCUUUUUGUUAGUUAUUUGUAAAAUUUAUAGCCAUUAUUCUUUGCACAGGAGGAUAAUUGCAGUCAAAAGGUGUUGCAAUGGAUUCGGAGGUGAAGUCAUGAGGAGUUGUUGUGAUGGCAGAAGAAUGAGUGAUCAUUUAGCAUUUUGCACAAGGGUGUACGAGUGGUCCAGUUAAACAGAGAUUAUAAACAAUUAAAACUAUAAUUUGAUAUUACAUCUACUUGUGAUUGAUGAAAGUAAUUCAAAGUAUCAUUUGGACAGAUCUGAUGAGUUAACAAAUAUUUGAAAGUAUACGAGGAACAUUUUACACACCUUCAAUAUUAGUAUGUUGUAUAGUAAAUAUAAUAAACAAUUAAAGUUGAAAAACUGAA